rnacentral:rRNA from 1 species
GAAGUGCGAUGCUUACACAUGCAGUCGAUUCAAGUUACCUUCGGGUAAUGAGGAUGGCGGACGGGUGAGUAACGCGUAAGGAACUUGCCUCUUGGACUGGGACAACUGUCGGAAACGACAGCUAAUACCGGAUAUUAUGAGAUUCUCGCAUGAGAAACUUAUGAAAGCUAUAUGCGCCAAGAGAGAGCCUUGCGUUCCAUUAGCUAGUUGGUGGGGUAACGGCCCACCAAGGCGACGAUGGAUAGCCGGCCUGAGAGGGUGAACGGCCACAAGGGGACUGAGACACGGCCCUUACUCCUACGGGAGGCAGCGGUGGGGAAUAUUGGACAAUGGGCCACAAGCCUGAUCCAGCAAUUCUGUGUGCACGAUGAAGGUCUUCGGAUUGUAAAGUGCUUUCAGUUGGGAAGAAGAAAGUGACGGUACCAACAGAAGAAGCGACGGCUAAAUACGUGCCAGCAGCCGCGGUAAUACGUAUGUCGCAAGCGUUAUCCGGAUUUAUUGGGCGUAAAGCGCGUCUAGGCGGAAAAAUAAGUCUGAUGUUAAAAUGCGGGGCUCAACUCCGUAUUGCGUUGGAAACUGUUUUUCUAGAGUACUGGAGAGGUGGGCGGGACUACAAGUGUAGAGGUGAAAUUCGUAGAUAUUUGUAGGAAUGCCGAUGGAGAAGUCAGCUCACUGGACAGAUACUGACGCUGAAGCGCGAAAGCGUGGGGAGCAAACAGGAUUAGAUACCCUGGUAGUCCACGCCGUAAACGAUGAUCACUAGGUGUUGGGGGGUCGAACCUCAGCGCCCAAGCUAACGCGAUAAGUGAUCCGCCUGGGGGAGUACGCACGCAAGUGUGAAACUCAAAGGAAUUGACGGGGACCCGCACAAGCGGUGGAGCAUGUGGUUUAAUUCGACGCAACGCGAGAAACCUUACCAGCGUUUGACAUCCUAAGAAGUUUCCAGAGAUGGAUUCGUGCCGGCUUGCCGGGACUUAGUGACAGGUGGUUGCAUGGCUGUCUUCAGCUCGUGUCCUGGAGAUGUUGGGGUUAAGUCCCCCCAACGAACGCAACCCCCUAUUGGUAUGUUGGCUACCCUUUAAAUUUGAGGCCCUCUGGGCGAAACGGCCCGGCGAGUAGACAGAGGAGAGAGU